GUUUUGUAAACCUGUUUAAUUGUAAACCGGUUAAUUGUAAACCGGUUAAUUGUAAACCGGUUAAUUGUAAACCGAUUAAAUUUAUAAAACAGAUUUCUAUUUGGUUAAUUCAUUUUAUUUUGUGAACCGAAUUAAACCAAUAAACCAUUAUUAAUUAAUAUAUCAAUUCUAAUUAAAAACUAAAUUAUUUUAAAAAUAUAUAAAUUAUAUAAAUAUAAUUAAUAUACGCUAUCAUACUGUUCUAAUAUAACAACAUUUAUACAACUGCUAUAAUAGAGUGGACACCUAAGAUAGCUGGGGCAGACAUAGCGGUUUCAAUAAUGCUAACAUUAGCAUAUGAUAGUUGUAUUCUUACGCUAAGAAUGAACAUUUUUCUUGUAGUGACUGUCUCUCUGAUAUGACUUGAAUAUGAUCGAGUAGCUUCUGAAUGACUAUGUAGGCUCUUGUGUGAAUGUAGCAAUCUUACUCUUCAAGUCUUCAACAAGUGCCUCAUCAAAGAAGUGGCAUAGAAAUGCAUUCUUGAUAUCGGCCCUGGAUGUGAGAGAUCCUGGCUGUAGAUGCUUAAGCCAGUACGAAGCCUCUCCAGCAAGUGAGUACUUGAAGAGCUUGCAAAAUAGGUAGUCCUCAGGGAUUCCAUUGGCUUUAAUAGCAGAAACUAGAUCGUUGAACCUUUCUAGAUGGUCCAUAGGAUGCUCGUGUGAUAACCCACAGUAUGGUGUCUGUCCCAUGAGUGUGAAGUACUUAAGCUUCAACUCAAAGUCUUGCCUCUGUAUGGAUGGAGGACGGAUAGCAGAUCUGUUCUCGUAGUACUAAUUUGACCUGUUGUAAUCAGAUAAUGUCCUCAGUCUAGCAGCCUCGUCUACAGCUUGAGCAGCUGCAAUAUCAGCAUCGGUAUCAGGGAUUACAACCCCUUGAUCAUCUAUCUUCUGACCUGAUGCAUUACGCAGAUGAUCCUCCUGGUCAUGCAGGUUUCCAGUCGCGUCAUGAAUUAAAACUAGUGUCACAACCAUGUCUCGCGGCUCAGUAUCGAUCGAUGUCCGAGUGGAAUGUCGAUCGAUGUCUGGUGGGUAUGGGGGGGGGUCGAUGGAAGAAUGGUCUCGGUCGACGGUGGAAGGCGAGUGUCGUUCGACGAGCAGGUGUUGUUAUCGACCAAUGUGUUACAUUUUUCUUUGCGGAUGGUGCGUUCUAGAAGUGCAGGAUCUGAAAAGAGAAGUGCAUGUUACUUGUUGCUUCUAGUACUGAUAGGCAUGCACCUGAAAAGACAAGAAUGUUUUUUUAUCAAUUUUUGCAAGAAACAGUUACUUAGACUAAAUGUAGCUAAAUUUGAUCUAAUGGAGAUCGAAGCUCCCCGGCAACGGCGCCAAAUUUUAUAUCACUCAAAUUACCCUAUAGUGAUUUACUCUCUCAAAGUAAGAUGUUCAAUUGUAAUACUUAGGUAUCGAAUUCACAUGGAGCUAAUGCACACAUUAGAUCUAUCUAGUUGUGUAGUUAAGCUAGUCAAGUAGGUUUUAAAGCAGUAAAUAACAAGGGUGAACAAGUAAUUGUUCAAUUGAUUGAUUUGGGUUUUAAGACAGAUAUGGGAAACGUUAGACUUAGGGUUUCUAUUCAAACAAUCAAGAUUAUAGAGAUAUAGAUUACUAAGCAUAUAUGGAUAUUCUAGAACUCAAACAAUAAGAAAAGUCAAUCAACUUUCGUAUAUUUAGACUAUCUAUCGCCAGAUCUAGGAUCUCAGCUGUCGCUUUGUGUCGACCGAUUCCAACAAUGGGGUGUCGAUCGAUACACCUUUCAGCCCGUCGAUCAAUGCAACUAGCGAGUUGUCGAUCGAUGAACCUUCCAGGGAGCGUUAUCGCAAGGGUUUGACGUGUUCACUAGGUUAAACUAAAUCAGCUUCCACUUGUUUCUAGCAAUCAUAGCACAAUGUAAACUAAUCAGACAUAGAACCAAACUUCUGCUUGCGCCGUACUAUCUAAAGGCAAGGUCCUAGUUAGCUACUCUAGAACACAUGUAUUAAGAACAGUUUAGUUGAUUAAUAUUCCUAACACUUAGCAAUUCUAUAUUUUGGGCUAAUCCCUUUUGAAUAUCUAAACCCUAAAUCUAACAAGAAGAACUACUCAUGCAUAGCUAAGGAAUUCAUAACAAAGAGAUAUGAAAACUGCAUAAAAUAGAAUAGAGUAGACAAAUUUGAGUUCCAAUCACAAAUCUCUGAAAGAGUUAUUGGAUCUUCUCUCAAAACCUAAAACUCUAAGUAUUUUGCUGUAUGAAAGUAAGAAAUCGUGUGUUGCCUAGAACAAUGGCAGAGCACAUAUAUAUUAGGUUAAACUCACCAGGGGUAAUAUGAUAAUUUUUGUGGGACUUGGGCUUAAAGUCGGCUGGAACCAUUAUGGCCUCUGACCGCUUCACCGUCGAUCGACAACAUGGAGUGUGUGUCGAUUGAUUAUUGCCUUCUCCCAUCGAUCGAUAGUCAUGGUCAAUGGUCAGCUAUGUAUCUUUAUCAUUUUAUCUCCAAAAUGCACCAAAAUCACAAUUUUUCUCCAAAUCACUCCAAAACCUGAAAACAUAUUAAAAAGACUCCAAAACAAAUAUAAAAUAUUUAAAAACACCUAUAUACCAUAGCGAAAAAUGGGUAAAAUCUAUGGUAUAUUAAUAUUGAUUCCUCUAAAUAAUCCAUUCAGUAUAUUCCAGUUUCUGCUGCAGCUCCUCCAUUGUUUUGCUUAUCCAAGCAAUGUUGUUGUGGAGAAGAUAAAAGAAUGUCCAUCGUUUGGUGCAUCUUGUCGUACAUCUUAUCUUGGUCAAUCAUGCCUUUCUUUAUUAUCUCCAUGACCUCAUCUUUAGUGUAUAUGUCCUCUUCUGGCGAAGGUGUAAGUGUAUGAUGAACUCCAGGCAUAUGAAAACAUCCCUCUUACCGUGGUCUCUUGCCUCAUCACCAUUGCUCGUUGAAUGUGGUCCUCACCACCCAAGACCACCUCACUCCUGCUUCAGCGCUAUUGCUCAUCUCAUGUGGUCGUCAUUGUCUUGCCUCAUCGCUCAGGACUACCUUUCUUCUAUCUCAUUGCCUUGACUCAUUGCCGACACCAUCUGUCUUCUGCUUCUUCAAUCAUAAUUGUUGAAUAACAAAAAGGAAAAAACUCCUACUUUCUCUCUCAAAGAUUUGGAACUGAUAAAAAGGGAAAAGGAGAAAAAAAUAUAUCCCCGUAAAGAGAAGAGAGAAACAUGCAGCUGAAUUACAGCCAUAAUUUUGAUCAUGCUAUAUACAUUUUGAUAUCUUUGUAAUUUUACUGAAUUUUUAAGUUUUAAAUCAAAAUUUACAUCUCAACACAAUUUUUUUAAAUUAGUUUUUUUUAUUAAAACUAGAAAAGUAUUUACUAUGAGGUACACUGCGGAAUUAAAGUGAUUUCUCAUGGAUUAGCCAAAAAUACGGAAUUUGGAUAGAAAUAUAUAUAUAUUCAAAUACCAAUUUUAAGGAGGUUUGUCACUAAAAAUAGAUUAGUUUCAAGGUAUGAUAGAUUUAGCUUCUUAUAUAUAGACACAUACUACUCUUCUAAAUUUUCAGAAUCACACAUAUAGUUCUAAAAAAAAUAAAAUAACACAUUUACUACUCUAUAUUCUAAAGUUCGUAAAACACCUUCAUUCUAUUUCUACCUUUUAAGAUGAGCAAACAGCUUCAAGUCACAUUCAUCGUUUUAACUAUCUUCAUCGUUUUCGUUUUAGAAGUGGUGGGAGAUAGAGAUAGUGAUAGUCAGUUUGGCUGUGAGGAGAGACUGAAUAUGACUACUGAGGACACUUGUUCACGACUAGAGUGUCAAUUUCAGUGUACUUUGAAAAGAAAGGGGUGGGCCACUUGCUUUAAGGAUGCGGACGACCUUUACAAGGGGACCCCCGUUUACAAGUGUCUUUGUGCUUAUUUUUGUCCUAAAUAAUUUCAACAACAUUUAAGCCUUAUCUAUGAGCUUUAUAAUAGAGUAAGAAUCUUGUUGAUCCAAUAUCUAUCUUUAUAUAUAAAGUAUAGUUUCAUCCCUUCUCCUUGCGCCACGUCCUCUGCCACGUAGAUAAGUCGAAUUCUCCUAUGUCGACACGUGUCACUCGGAUUUUUAUCUCUCUGGGUUUUGGAUCAUCUUUAAUCUCGUCGUUUAGUCUUCUGUGCUGAUUAACCGAAACGUUUCGAGCAGAUUAAUUCCCUUUAUCUCCUUCUUAACUCCAUCAACCACAAUCCUACAUUCAAUUCAUCUUUCUCUUCUGCAAGGCGGUUAGUCUUCUACUCUGGAAAUUCAUUCUCUCAAUCCGUGAAAACAAUGGAGUUUUAUCUGAUUAUCGAGAUGAUUAUCUAAACCAACAAUGGAGUUUCGUGAGGGUUAUGUGAGACGAAUCUUCACGAUGAAUCUCUGGAUCUAAACACGUUUUUAAUCUACAAUCAGAUCGAGUUCAGACAUAGAUACAAGCUCCAGUAAGAGAAAGUUGAUCCCACACGGUAAUGGCAACGAGUCUACGGCUUCGUCGUCUACAAAUUCCAAAUCAAAGGUUUUUAUUUCAAAAAAUCAAAGGUUUUUAUCUCACAAUCUCUCUCUUGCCUCUGACUAUAAAAACUGUUUUUCUUUAUGGAUUCAUGAACCGAAUGCAUAAGGGAAUUUGAGUUUUAGUUUAGUGAAAGAUAUUCCCUUAGAGAUGUUGAUUUGGAGUUUAUAAUCAGGUUUCAGGAGAUUACAUUCAAGUUAGAGCUAGAAGGGGUCAGGCAAGCAACAGAUAGCCACAGCCUCGCUGAAAGAGUACUAACACCUUCGAGCAACCGGUUUUUUUUUUGUCCCUUUUUCUGUUCAACUUGACAAUGUUGAUGUUUUUGUUUGUUUGCCAGGCAAUAGGAGAAAAUAUCAGCGAGAUGAUGACUUUACUUCAAGAUCUGGUUCUUGGUGGCAAUCGGAUAACAGGGAAGCAAUUAUGCUUAAUAUGUGCAGUCCUUGCAGAGACAAGACGAUUUCUUCUUCAAUGCUUUGUUUCGAUCUGCAAGGCGGUGUUUUUUGUGUAUAAAUAUAUGUGAGUAUUUCUCUUCUUAGACUCCAUCUUUGACCUAGCAAAUUUCUUCAACUGAUUCUUUUUGAUUGAUCAUGACAAACUAUUGCUUCGUUUUAUAUAUUGUAUCUGAGGGGCAGGAGUGUGUGUGAGAGCAUAGAUAGUGUCAUAGUGAGAGAGGAGAGAAUGAAUGGUGGUGAUGAGGUCGGAGCUUCAUCGUUUUAGAUUGGAGAUUCUCUCAGGUAUUUGGUGAGGGCAGUGUUGGCGAAGAAUUUCAAGAAGGUCCAAAAGAAGCACAAAUAUGAUUCUGUGAAACCGAAGAGACCAUAAAAAGAAAGGAUGAGGAAGAUAGAAAGAAGACAUGGAGAAAUCAAAGAAAUAACUUUUUAUGAAAGGUAAAAACGCUUCUGUUGUUUGUUUCACAACCUAAAGGUUCAGACUGUUGCAGCAUUUACCAUUAAAUAUUCACUACUUAUCAUCACAUUUUAUGCAGUCUAUAGUGGAUGGAGUUAUGUCAGAUGAUGUUGCUUGGUUAUUGAAUCGUAGUCACGACUACUCAUUUGUGGGCUUACAUGGCUUAUCCCAGCCGAGAAUAUAUGAUAAGGAAUUUGAACUGGGGGAGGAAGACUAAGAAGUGAUGCAACUCCUUAUGUGAGAUGCCUGCCAAUCCAGAACCAACAUGGAGGUUUUGUGAGAGGUGGUUAAGGCAGAGGCCAAGCUGAUGGUGGCAAAGGGAAUAAAGAUGGCCCACAAAUUGUGCCUAACAGUUGGAUUGAAAAAUGGAAAAAGCUCUACCAUGGUAUUAGGAAGAAUGUGUAGACAACAAUAGCUGAAGGAUUGUUGCAGUUGUGGAUUAUCAGAUGAACACACUCCUAUCUUUCUAGGAGCAGUCAGAGCUAAAGCCUUUGUUGCUCAGAUUUGCAGUGAUCUUUUUCAUAAUCAGUGGCUACAUGAGAGUGUUUCUGCUGAGUUAGGAUUUAGAGUCUGCAACAAAUGUACGAUAGGUUAAGGCUAUUUUAUUAUGCGGGGAAGAUGAGAAUAAUUCCAUCUCCAUCAGUAGCUUAACUCGCUUAACAUUCAAGAUUGUGGUUAGAGUUGUUUAUCAUCAAAAACCAAAACCCAAGUAGAAACAUGUUCCAAAAGUGAUUUACAAAAUCUUCUUUCUAUUAGUUACUAAUACAUGAAUAUGUUUUUUUAAUUGAUAUAAAAUGGUUAUUGUUAUGUU